rnacentral:misc_RNA from 1 species
AACUUGCAAUGCAUGUAUUUUGUUUUCAUUCCACUUAACUUAAAAGCCCUUUUACUAACUUUCUAUUGACUUCUUCUCGCGUCUUAUAUCUCGAUUAGAGUACAAGAGUAGGAAAUGCUAAUUAUUGAUAUUAUGUCAUGCAGAAGAACUGGUGCAUGAAUUGUCAAUACUCCAAAACCAGGUCAAAUUUCUGACUAGGGCCAGAUAGCUCUGAAAUCUAGACCUACAGGUAUUUAUGUCUGACAAAUGUACCAGUUCAAAAUAUGAACCUGCAGUCCUAGAACUAAAUAUUAUUCAGCUAUAACUUCAAGUGUAGCCCACUUUAAAGUACGUGCCAGUCCUUAAUAUGGAAUUCAUUCAAAUUAUCACCAUCCAGCCAAUUUUCAAGUAAGAACCAAAAUCACAUAAUGGAACAGUAACCAAAAAGGUCUCAACAAAAGAAGGUAAUUGCAGCGUAUAUGGAUCAAAACCACUAAAAAGGAAAGAGGUUUAAAAUUGUAAUCACCUGGAAACUAGUGAUGCUUUCCUUCAAUUCAACAUAUUUUCCAGGGGCUCCAGUAAAUACUUCUGCA